AUUGAACGCUGGCGGCAUGCUUUACACAUGCAAGUCGAACGGCAGCGCGGGCUUCGGCCUGGCGGCGCGUGGCGAACGGGUGAGUAAUACAUCUGAACGUUCCCAGUAGUGGGGGAUAGCUCGGCGAAAGCCGGAUUAAUACCGCAUACGACCUGAGGGUGAAAGCGGGGGAUCUUCGGACCUCGCGCUCUUGGAGCGGCCGAUGGCAGAUUAGCUAGUUGGUGGGGUAAAGGCCUACCAAGGCGACGAUCUGUAGCUGGUCUGAGAGGACGACCAGCCACACUGGGACUGAGACACGGCCCAGACUCCUACGGGAGGCAGCAGUGGGGAAUUUUGGACAAUGGGCGAAAGCCUGAUCCAGCAAUGCCGCGUGUGUGAUGAAGGCCUUCGGGUUGUAAAGCACUUUUGGCGGGAACGAAAAGGACUGUGCCAAUACCACGGUUCGAUGACGGUACCCGCAGAAUAAGCACCGGCUAACUACGUG
rnacentral:rRNA from 1 species